rnacentral:rRNA from 1 species
AGAGUUUGAUCAUGGCUCAGAUUGAACGCUGGCGGCAGGCCUAACACAUGCAAGUCGAGCGGUAGCACAGAGAGCUUGCUCUCGGGUGACGAGCGGCGGACGGGUGAGUAAUGUCUGGGAAACUGCCUGAUGGAGGGGGAUAACUACUGGAAACGGUAGCUAAUACCGCAUAACGUCGCAAGACCAAAGUGGGGGACCUUCGGGCCUCAUGCCAUCAGAUGUGCCCAGAUGGGAUUAGCUAGUAGGUGGGGUAACGGCUCACCUAGGCGACGAUCCCUAGCUGGUCUGAGAGGAUGACCAGCCACACUGGAACUGAGACACGGUCCAGACUCCUACGGGAGGCAGCAGUGGGGAAUAUUGCACAAUGGGCGCAAGCCUGAUGCAGCCAUGCCGCGUGUGUGAAGAAGGCCUUCGGGUUGUAAAGCACUUUCAGCGGGGAGGAAGGCGAUAAGGUUAAUAACCUUGUCGAUUGACGUUACCCGCAGAAGAAGCACCGGCUAACUCCGUGCCAGCAGCCGCGGUAAUACGGAGGGUGCAAGCGUUAAUCGGAAUUACUGGGCGUAAAGCGCACGCAGGCGGUCUGUCAAGUCGGAUGUGAAAUCCCCGGGCUCAACCUGGGAACUGCAUUCGAAACUGGCAGGCUAGAGUCUUGUAGAGGGGGGUAGAAUUCCAGGUGUAGCGGUGAAAUGCGUAGAGAUCUGGAGGAAUACCGGUGGCGAAGGCGGCCCCCUGGACAAAGACUGACGCUCAGGUGCGAAAGCGUGGGGAGCAAACAGGAUUAGAUACCCUGGUAGUCCACGCCGUAAACGAUGUCGAUUUGGAGGUUGUGCCCUUGAGGCGUGGCUUCCGGAGCUAACGCGUUAAAUCGACCGCCUGGGGAGUACGGCCGCAAGGUUAAAACUCAAAUGAAUUGACGGGGGCCCGCACAAGCGGUGGAGCAUGUGGUUUAAUUCGAUGCAACGCGAAGAACCUUACCUGGUCUUGACAUCCACAGAACUUUCCAGAGAUGGAUUGGUGCCUUCGGGAACUGUGAGACAGGUGCUGCAUGGCUGUCGUCAGCUCGUGUUGUGAAAUGUUGGGUUAAGUCCCGCAACGAGCGCAACCCUUAUCCUUUGUUGCCAGCGGUCCGGCCGGGAACUCAAAGGAGACUGCCAGUGAUAAACUGGAGGAAGGUGGGGAUGACGUCAAGUCAUCAUGGCCCUUACGACCAGGGCUACACACGUGCUACAAUGGCAUAUACAAAGAGAAGCGACCUCGCGAGAGCAAGCGGACCUCAUAAAGUAUGUCGUA